UGCAAAAGCUGUGGGCACUGAAAGUUUUGCUCCACCGGCCGCGCAGCACCCACUUGGGGUCGGGCUUUGGGACUUGGGGGAGUCAGGAGCAGGCGGGGGCUGGGGAGAGGACGAGGCCCUGGGGAGGGGCUGGAAAAGGCUUUUCACAGCGACUGGCACUUGAUAUUUCCAAGUCUUCUGGAUGUCACUCACCGGAAACCAGACCCUGCGGUGCGAAGACUCAGGUGGCAAAGGCAAAAGCUGGACUGCAUUGUGUGGCCCCAGGGAGCUGCAGACAGAGGAACUGAGUCCUGGCCACUGUGCCUGCUGUCUCUUACAAGUUUAGAGAUGCUGGCAUUGCAUCGAAAUCGGACAACACUCCCUUCCCUCCCUUCCCAGGUACUCCAUUCCCAACCUUUUCCACCAACAGGUCCUUAUUCUCAGAAGCCAAAAAUAAUUUAUUGGUUUCCACUGUUCUCCUUGGCUGAAUCUUCAAGUACACCAACUCCCCCCUCUUCUGGACAGACUCUCCAUAAUUCAGCCAGCAUCUAAUCAGCACCUUGCUUCUCUUCCAUUCUUCCUUUCUCCAGAGUCAUGAUUCUUCCUUCUCAAGUCAAAGAGGAAUUACAAGCAAAUAGACACUAUCCUUGAAUGCAGUUUGGGUUACACAGAAUGGGGAAUGAACUCAAUCUCAUUUUUGCUUCUUUGUUGAAAUAAGCUCAGUAUCUCCCUUGCACAGAGAUUGAAUCGGCUUCACUAAGGCAAGCAGCAUUUCCUCUUUUCUCCCAGUCAGCAUCGCAGCUCUCUGCAUUCCCCUCUCGCAGAGGUGACUAUUCAUUGUGUUCUUUCCAGGAAUGUUUUCUGAGCUUCAGGAGGCCCUGAGUUACCUGGAUAAUUAGUGCUGUCCUUUUGCACAAUGCAAAAACAAAACUAUUAUGAGAUAAUUUCUUUAGCUAAGUUGGGAAUGGGGUUUAAAUGCGUGGGCAAAUAGAUCUGGCAGUCA
ensembl:lncRNA SDK1-AS1 SDK1 antisense RNA 1